AUUGAACGCUGGCGGCAGGCCUAACACAUGCAAGUCGAGCGGAGCGGCGGACGGGUGAGUAAUGCCUAGGAAUCUGCCUGGUAGUGGGGGAUAACGUCCGGACACGGGCGCUAAUACAGCAUACUAUCAGAUGAGCCUAGGUGGUUUUAGCUUGUUGGUGGGGUAAAGGCCUACCAAGGCGACGAUCCUUAACUGUGAUGGUAGGAUGAUCAGUCACACUGGAACUGAGACACGUCCCAGACUCAUACGGGAGGCAGCAGUGGGGAAUAUUGGACAAUGGGCGAAAGCCUGAUCCAGCCAUGCCGCGUGUGUGAAGAAGGUCUUCGGAUUGUAAAGCACUUUAAGUUGGGAGGCGGUACCAAAAGAAUAAGCACCGGCUAACUUCGUGCCAGCAGACGCGGUAAGAG
rnacentral:rRNA from 1 species